CUUAUCCAAAGAUGUUCUGAGGGCAGAAAGGAAAAUGAUUGGUUCACAGAUUGACCCAAUGAAAUUACGGCAGAGGCGGGGCCUAGGCUUUUUGAAAUGUGGAGGAAAAAGUUCGCAGACUUAGCACAGAUACUUUGGAGACUUCGUGGGAUUGGUUGCUGUUGUAAGCUACCUGGAGGAGUUGCAAAAUCUGGACAAAUCAAAGGAGCUAACACUGAAGAUCUGAUACUGCCGAGUCCAAAAUGGUGCAAAAAUGGAGAUGUAUGAAAAAUGAUGUCACCAGAUGAUGGAUCAGCACCUAGAGACGACCUCUACAUCCCUAAAUGUCCUAAAUGAGUCCUCUGCAAUCUGACUUUGCUGCAACAUGGAACUUUUGCAUUAUUGACACACUAUUGUCCUAUUAAAAACUGUAAAGUUGCUUUGACACAACCUGUUUUGUUAAAAAGCGCUGUAUAAAUAAAUGUGAUUGAUUUACCUCAUGUAAAUAAGAGGUUGCAUGCAACUUAUUUCU